rnacentral:rRNA from 1 species
AUGAAGAACGCAGCGAAAUGCGAUACGUAGUGUGAAUUGCAGAAUUCCGUGAACCAUCGAAUCUUUGAACGCAUAUUGCGCUCAAGCCUUCGGGCAAGAGCAUGUCUGCCUCA